rnacentral:lncRNA from 1 species
CUGAAUUUGUGGCACGAAACAUAGGUCGUAAAGUAGAAGAAGAAGUGGCGGAAAAGAAGGGCCAAGAAGCUGGAAAUUUUGCUAUAGCGGAGCACCUUCUUGCUGCAGAGGCAUUCAAUCCAUGCAGAGAAGGAACUCCCUAUAAUAGGGCAGUUCGCGAUAGAGAAGCGUCGCGAGGGUCAUUCCACCCAUGAGCAAUGAUGUUCCAGGGAAUAAAAGCACAUCGCGGAUAUGACACAAAAAUUGACCCACAUGUUUAUUUUAGACUAUAAAUAACAUAAGUGUCCUCUCAUUGCGAAUCCAACUUUCCAUGAAUCUGGGAGCUAGGACAAAAGAUAAUUUUUGUGCCAUUUUCUAGGGUUUUUUUCCUUCUUCUUCUUCAUCUUGGUAAAGACUUGUUGUCGCGCCCCAUUUUCGCAGAAAAAUGGGUUUUGUGCACGACCUAACAACUCUUUUGGGAUUUUGAGUUUGGAGUCGCCACCUAACGAAUUAAGGCGCGUUAGGGCACCUAUCUAACCUAACUAAGUCUAACUAAGGUCAACGAGCCAGAGAAUUAGGGUAAGGGUUCAAAUUACCUCGAGGGGAAGGUGUUAGGCAUCCCUCGAGGUCCACAAGUGUGGGUCCCGGCCGUAUCUCAUGCAAUCUAUGUGUGGGUUACAAGUAGCAAUCAAGGUCCACUUCAUUAUUAUUCAUUAAUAUGCUUGCUAAGUGAUAACAAGUAUAAAACAAUUAAGACUAUUUUAUUAAUUUAAACAUGCGAGGCUAGAAGACAGCAAUAAUAAACAACCAAGUUUUUUUUAUUUAUUUAUUUAACAUACGAGGCUAUGUUAUAGACAAAAUUAAUAUGCGCAGAAGUAAAGUUUUGAAAAUUGAGUAAGUUUUGAAUAUGAAUUUUUAUUUUGAAAAAAAAUGUUUAUUUCUUUAUAGGGAUGAUGCCACGAUAUUGUUGAUCGCGCUCCUCCAUAAUAGAUUCAAUUUUGAUUUGAGGUCGGUCUAAAAAAUAGCUUAUGUUUUUUUGAAAAAAUGAUUUAAAAGAUUUAGUUCACACGUAGGCACAUAAACAUUUACACAUAAAUGCACAUAAUUCUUUUUGAAAUUCAUGGGUAGGUGGUACUUCCGAGGAUGCGUCGGGUUUAAAAAUUGGAACUAGACCUCAUAGUUCCUUUGACUUUCCCACUAACGAUAGGUUAGGAGAUAGUACUUAUAAUUUACUUUCAAAAUAAACAAUGUCAAAAUCAAUCCAAAGUUUAAAAGGAAGAUUGAAUAAUGACUUUUUAAGAAAAUUAUGUUACAAGGUUUUGAUAUGAAAUAUUUUUAAAGCCAAGUUAAAUGCAUGAAAUGAUUCUAAAUUAGUAUUAAGAAAAAAAUAUUGCAUCAUGAAUGCGGAAAACAAAUGGAAUUACUAGUUAAAUAAUAUUAACUAAUUUUAGGGGAGGGCUCAAAUAUGCACAAACAAAUUUUAUUUUUUAUGGACAUGCUGAGAGUUUAUUUACAACCCUAUAGACAUGAUUUCUAGGUGUUAAAAAAAACAGAGUAACAUAUAUAUGCAUGAUUUUGUAAAUGAUGUGAACAAUUUAAUACUUAGGCAUAGUUCUACGUGAUAAGACAAAUGAAAAUUUAUAACAUAUUUAAUAUCUAACAACCUAUUAUAUUAUUAGGACUUGAUUUUAAUAUUUAAAAAAAUUAAUGGAAUUUAGUUAUUAUUUUUAAGACUUAUUAACGAAAGCGUCAAGCAAAUUAAAAAUUGAUUAGAUUAUAACAGCUACAAAUAUUAAAUCUAGGCGAUUAAAGACAAACCUAUAGGCAUGAUUUCUAAAAAAAUUAAUGAAACAAGUAAGCAUAUAAAUCCCCCUCCCCUAGACGACCCCCCAAUAAAUUUAUAUAUAUGAUCUUUUAGAGUUACAAUUGUUACAACAUUCGAAUAAAUAAAAUAGACAAAAAAUAAUAUAUAUAUAUAUAUAUAUAUAUAUAUAUAUAUAUAUAUAUAUAUAUAUAUAUAUAUAUAUAUAUAUAUAUAUAUAUAUAUAUAUACAUUCAAAUAAACAAAUAAAUCUUUCUUCAAUCAAUCUUCAACUUGAACUUCAAGUUUGAAACCUGUCAAAAUAAUCAAAUAACGGUUAAGCAAAACAAAUUGAUUCACCUUUUACUCGAACGAAGUAGCAAAAUAGCAAAGAAAACUUGAAUAUUUAUCGGAAUAUUAAUGUGUUGUUAAAGUAGCAAGAGAGCAAUGAGAGAAGAGAGAGUGAUGAGAGAAAUUUUUUGAUUGAGAGUGAAUGGGUCUGAAUGAAUAAAAGGAGUCUCUUUAUAUAGUAAAGGAGGGGGAACAAAUAAAGGAAAUAAAUAUUUAAAGGAAUCAAUUAUAAUACUAUUUUCCUUAUUUCAAAGGAGAGCCAAAAUCAGAAAAUAUUACAAUAUUUCAUUACCAAAUAUAAACAAGUAAGAAUAAAUUAAUAAAUUUAAAAAUAAGAAAAUCAAUUAAUUAAAUAUCACUUUUCUAAAAAUAUAACAACUAAGAAUAUAUUUGAAGUCAAUCAAGGUAAAAUAAAAUAAUCAAUUAAAAUGACAAUAAUAUUUUAAAAGAUAUAAGAAAUCUGCAACUACUAUUGAAAAUUACAAGACUUACCAUAACAAAUAAUAAUCAAAGUGAAACCAAUAUACACUUAGCAUGUCAAUACCCAAAUCACAUUUAGCAGACUUACAGGAACUUAUUAUCAUACAAUAUUGUUUUCAACAUGGCUAAAACACAUGUACUUUGCAAAUUUUCAAAAGAAAAAUCAACAAGAACAGCCCAUAAGAUCAAGCAAAUCACAAUAUAUUUUCAUAUUCAUAACAAAAUAUUUCUGAAAACACGCAGAACAUUAGGAAAAUUAAACAUCUAAAUGAAUAAUAAUAAAAAAAAACUAAAACAGAAACUAACCCAGACGGAUCUGUCGAGAUCCAUCUCAAACAAAAGCUCCAGCACUUCAUGUGAUGUUGCUGACUGCCGUUGUUGUCGCCCUGUGUUGCUGGCCGGAGCAGCUAUUGCUGUCUCGCUAGGCUGUUGCUGCGUGGUGGCUGUCGCCGGCCUGCAAAAGAAGAAGGAGAAGAGAAGAGGGGCGAGAGGGAGAAGAGAAGAGGGGUAAACGGAGGGAGAAAGAAGGGAAGAAAAGGGAAAGGUACAUCGCUGGUCAGAGUUCCACUGGAGGAUGGCGGCGUCGGCUGCUGGUUGUUGUUGCUGGAGGGUCGUUGCUCGCCUGAGAAGAGGAUAGACGGACGGCCGCCGGGGCUGCUGGCUGGCGCAGGGGUUCUCGCCGGCGACUGGUGGCUGUUGCUGUCACCUGGCAUCUCGCUGGUGGAGCUGCUGGUUGGUGUCGCCUUCCUGCUUGCUUCGCCAGCUGGAGAGAAGGGCGAAUAGAGAGGGAGAGAACGGGAAGAGGAAGAAGGGGCGAAGAGAGAGAGAGAGAGAGAGGAGAGGCGGCUUCCGUCCGGCUGUCUCCUCGCCGGAAAAAAUUGGAGAGGAGAGGGGGGGUUGCGGCGGCUGGUGAGGGGAGAGGGUGAGAGAAGAAGUGACUGAAAAAUUUUAGGGAUUAUUUUUAAAUGUUGAGAGAAUAUGAGAAUUAAUCACAACCGUUAGAUUAGAUAGAGAUGAAGGAUUAGGAUUCGAUCUAGGAUUUAUUUUUUAAGAUGGACGGAUGAGAUCAAAAGAUGAAGUUUUGAAAUUAGAUUGGCAAGGAUAUAGAAUGGCUAAAAUUGCAAUUUAAAGUGGCUAGAAUUAGAAUGAAAUAGAAUAGAAUAGGCUAGAAUUUAAAUAAUUUUAUUAAAAUACUACAUACAUUAAAAUAUUUUGUAUAAUUGAAAAUCAUCUAAAUUUUUUAAAACAUUUGAAAUAAUAUUUACAAUAAUUUUAUAAAGUAAACUAUACUAAAAUAUAUUAUUUUUUGAGAAAGAAUUGACUAAAACUUCAAAACUUUAAGUAAAUUUAAAAUACGUAUUUAGUUGAGUAUAAUCCUAAAAAACGGUUAAAGGUCGGUCAAAAUUGGGUGUCAACAGCUGCCCCUUGGUUGAUUGAGAAUGAAGAAUGAAUUGUCAGGCAACCAAUGUUGACUUAGUAGCCGAUUUUGUCCGACCGACGAGAGAUGUCAGUUGGAUAAAUUGAAACGAUAUAGAGUUGAAAAUGGGUACGACCGAGACUUUGGUUUUAAGUCGCCUACAUAUCUCUGGUUAUACGAGAAUCAGGUCGUGUGUAGUUCUAGAUUCAAGAGCAAAUGAAACUCUUAAAAAUUGAAAGAGCGCUAAGGUAUUUGAAAGGCAGGAUAUCGGCUUGAAUGGAUAAGAAUAGAGUAGCGAGAAAAGAGAGAUUAAGAGGCUAGAAGAGCGUGACAGAUAAGCAGGAAGAGCAUGAUAGAGUGAGGUUAUCAACAUUUGAGCAAGGUUCAGAGUAUGAGUAGCAAAGAUUUGAUAGAGUCUUUGUUGUGAUAGAGGAUAGUGUGAUAAUUAUAAUCAAGGGCGAUCGAUCAUAUCUGCAAAUUCUAGAUAAAAUGUUAGCUUAUAGAUAGAUAAAGUAUGACCAAUAGUAAUAAAAUAUGAGUUCUAGAUAGAUGACAAGAGGUGAAAAGGAACGUACUUGUUUGAGACGUAGUGCAAGCCUUGAUAGUCUUUAACUUCUUGAAUGAUUGAAACCCAUCUCUGAAAAAUAACGUCAAACUCCAAAAUAUUUGAUAGUAUAAACAUAUAAUAAUAUAAGAAAAAUGUCUUGUUGUAAGGAGAGUCUAAACGUCAUUUUAAGGCGGACGAGCCUAAACAUCAUAUUUUAAGACGGAAAAGCCUAAAUAUCCUAUUGUAAGGCGGAAGAGCCUAAACGUCGUAUUGUAAGGCAGACGAGCCUAAAUACCCUAUUGUAAGGCGGAAGAGCCGAAACAUCCUAUUGUAAGGCGGAAGAACCUGAAUGUCGUAUUGUAAGGCAGACGAGCCUAAACAUCGUAUUGUAAGGCAGAUGAGCUUAAAUAUCCUAUUGUAAGGCGGAAGAGCCUAAAUGUCGUAUUGUAAGGAGACGAGCCUAAAUGUCGUAUUGUAAGACAGACGAGCCUAAAUACCCUAUUGUAAGGCGGAAGAGCCUAAACAUCCUAUUGUAAGGCGGAAGAACCUGAAUGUCGUAUUGUAAGGCAGACGAGCCUAAAUAUCGUAUUGUAAGGCAGAUGAGCCUAAAUAUCGUAUUGUAAGGCGGAAGAGCCUAAAUAUCGUAUUGUAAGGCAGACGAGCCUAAAUGUCGUAUUGUAAGGCAGACGAGCCUAAAUACCCUAUUGUAAGGCGGAAGAGCCUAAAUGUCAUAUUGUAAUAAGGCGGGAGAGCUUAAAUAUAUAUUCAGUCAAUCGUAGAAGAAAGUUGAUAAUAGCCUCUUCAAAAAAUAAUCUGAGGAUAGUAUGACUUACAUAGUAGCUCCUAAAUAUGACAGUACGCUCAUAUAUAAUUUAUUCCUGCAUCCAGAGAAAAAUCGUAAAUUUAAAAAGCGAGAGAGGGUCAUACCUGUGCUUGUUUUGCCUUUACAGUUGCAUUCUGUUGUGAUGAAAUUUUUGAGGAUUUCUCAAAAAUUUCUGCCCCAGUUUAGAGUAUAAGAUAUAUACUCGCUUUUUUUUUCAAACAUCUUUAUGAAAUUUUUUGAGGUUUCCACAAAAAUUCUGCCCCAGUUUAUUAGUAAAGAAUUUUGAUCCUGCUUCACUCAAAGAAAAAAUUGUAAGUUCCAAAGAAAGUGAUUGUCUAGUAUUUGGACAAUAAGGCUCGACUUCGAAUUCAAGUGUCAAUUAUCUUCAUGGAUUGUUAAUUAGUCUAGAUUUGAAUUUGUAAAUGAGUGUUUUGAGUGACAAUGGGAAAGAAAGAAAAUUUAUUUGAUAGAGACCGGACCCAUCAAGGGUUGCCUACGUAUCCAAAAAGGAAAUCAGGUCAAACGUAGUUCAGAAUUAUAAGGAAAAAUGAAAGGAAUGAGGAAAGCUUUGGGCAUAAGGUCUGAGAACAAUAAAGCUAACUUUGUUCAUAAGAGUCUUGUCCAUAUUAAUUUCUCUGAUGUGAUUUACGCUUCCUUGUCAAGUGCCUAACAUACAUCUUUGUAGGAUCUCCUUGAACGAUGAAUGUAUUCUCCAUAGAAGGAUUGCAAUUGUUGUUUUGUCGUCCUUGUUGCACUAUAAUUUUUCCUUUUUCAAUCAUAUUCUGAAUCUUAUUUCUCAAUGCUGCACAUUCUUCGGUGUCAUGACCUUGAAUGUUUGAAUGAUAGGCACAAUUUUUGGAUGGAUCAAAGUUUGAAGUAGAGUGCUUGGGAAUCCAUCCAUUUAUUGGUCUUAGAAGUCUUUUAGCCCAUAAUCUCUGGAAAAUGUCGGUCAAAGUUUCCCUUAAAGGAGUGAAGACACGAGGUUUCCUCACCUUAUGUUGAGAUACCUGAGGGUUGGAAGGCUCAAGAAUAGCAUGAAUUUGCUCAAUAUUCUGAUUUCUUUUUUUCGGAGGUAUAUAGGUAGAUGCAUCUUCGUUCCUUUCAUCUGAUGAGUCUUUCAGGACAUGAAAAGAUUUUUGUGUAUCAGCAAUUCUUCCAGACUGAAUGCCAUAUUCUAACUCUUUUCCAAUUCGAAUUAGACUAUCGAAACUUUGAAUACCAGCAAAGAAUAGGGUUUUGUAGUAUAUACCCUCAAGUGAUCUAAUGAGAGUUUGGACCAACUCCUCUUCAUGCGGUAAGUGACGUAUCUUGGAGGCUUCCAUUCUCCAUCGUAUGACAUAUUCCUCAAAAUAUUCAUGACUUAAUUUCUUCAAUUUGAUCAAAUUUAACAUUGUAGGGUCAACCUUUUUAUUAAAGUUGUAUUGUUCCACAAAGUCUCGAUCCAUGUCUUCCCAUGCGAGCCAUUUGUCAAAAUCUUGUUUGACGUACCAAGUGAAGGCUAUUCCUGAUAAGCUUUGAAUAAAUAACCUCAUUAGGAGAGGUUCAUUGUUUUCUAAGCCAACUAGCUUGCUGCAAAAAUCUUUGAGAUGUGCUAUUGGAUCCCCACGUCCGUCGAACAUGUUGAAUUUUGGAAUUUUAAAUCCUGACGGCAAUUCAACUCCUGGGUGUAGACAUAAAUUUUUAUAUCUUAGGUCAUGAAUUGGUAUUGAAUUUAAUCCUCCAUUCACCUUUUUCUCCAAGUCAUGCAUUUUUCGCUGUAGUGCAUCUAGCUUAGACUUCUCUACUUUGUCACCUAUUCCCUCAUAUUGUGAAGCAUCAAAAUUGAGGCGUGUUGGAGACCUUUGUUGAGAGAGGGUGUGAGUAGGAAUAGGAUGAGGAGAGAUGGUCCAAAAGGUACUUUGUGUUGGACGAGAAGAUGGGUGAUUUUUUCGAAGGUUGAACAUAUUUGUCAUGUUGCGGGUUCUUAGUCGAGCCAAAAUCCAAAUACUAGACAACCUUUAGUCAAAGAUGUAAAUCAAACACAAAAGCCAGUUAUUAUAUAGUGAGCCAAAAUUAUAAUUUCAAAUGAAUGAUAUAAUAAAUCAAAACAGUUAAUAGAAUAAGGUCACAUAAUUGGUUCAAGUCAUAUUUGCCAAUUUAAAGCUUAGAGUCAAAGAAAGUCUUUAAUUACAUUUUGACAUAAUGACUUGAUUUAAAAUAUGAUGAUCAAAUUGACACAUAAAUAUGCAAUUUGUCUAAAGAAUGCUGGGGUCCUUUAGACAAUAGGGUGGCUACUAAUUAUAUGGAUUGACACCAAGGGUCAAACCACCUAGGGCUUAUGCAGCAUGUAUGAUUUAACCAGGACUUCUAAGAGUUGGCUUGACACGAACUUGAAAUGGAUUCUAUGCGAGAGGCUCGUGGCUUCACGGUAGUAAAACUAUCCGUUACGUCCACGCAUAUGCCGACUGUCUAUAAUGGGUAUUUGAAUAGGAUUGGAGUAGUUGUGAGAGGUGCAAAGACACAACAUCACGAGAACAAAAUAAUAAAAAAAAGGAAGAGGGUCCCAAGUGGGGGAGGUAUGAACGGAAUGCCAGUUAUCAAAGCAAUAAACAUUUAGCAUUUAAAUUGAAAAACAAUAACAUAUAGGCAGUUUGUAAACAAUACAUAGAUAAAUAAUCAUGAAUAAGUAAAGGAAUUUAAACAUACAAAGAUAUAAAAAUUACGCAAAUAAGGAAAGAGGGUAUGGGAUUAAACAUGUAAUUAAGCAAAGAAGGGAAAAAGGAAGAGGUCAUGGUAAUAAACAAUUAAGGUAAAAGGAAAGGGAUGGAACAUGGAGAAAAACGGUAAAUAAGGCAACAAAAUAAGCUACACAUGGUAAGCACCUAACAAAUAAUGAAAUGACAAAAAUAAAGUAAACCCCACAUAAAUAAGCAAUUAACACGUAAUGGUAAGAACCUAAUAUCCCCAGCGGAGUCGCCAUUCUGUCGCGCCCCAUUUUCGCAGAAAAACGGGUUUUGUGCACGACCUAACAACUCUUUUAGGAUUUUGAGUUUGGAGUCGCCACCUAACGAAAUAAGGCGCGUUAGGGCACCUAUCUAACCUAACUAAGUCUAACUAAGGUCAACGAGCCAGAGAAUUAGGGUAAGGGUUCAAAUUACCUCGAGGGGAAGGUGUUAGGCAUCCCUCGAGGUCCACAAGUGUGGGUCCCGGCCGUAUCUCAUGCAAUCUAUGUGUGGGUUACAAGUAGCAAUCAAGGUCCACUUCAUUAUUAUUCAUUAAUAUGCUUGCUAAGUGAUAACAAGUAUAAAACAAUUAAGACUAUUUUAUUAAUUUAAACAUGCGAGGCUAGAAGACAACAAUAAUAAACAACCAAGUUUUUUUUAUUUAUUUAUUUAAUAUACGAGGCUAUGUUAUAGACAAAAUUAAUAUGUGCAAAAGUAAAGUUUUAAAAAUUGAGUAAGUUUUGAAUAUGAAUUUUUAUUUUUGAAAAAAAAUGUUUGUUUCUUUAUAGGGAUGAUGCCACGAUAUUGUUGAUCGCGCUCCUCCAUCAUAGAUUCAAUUUUGAUUUGAGGUCGGUCUAAAAAAUAGUUUAUGUUUUUUUAAAAAAAUGAUUUAAAAGAUUUAGUUCACACGUAGGCACAUAAACAUUUACACAUAAAUGCACAUAAUUCUUUUUGAAAUUCAUGGGUAGGUGGUACUUCCGAGGAUGCGUCGGGUUUAAAAAUUGGAACUAGACCUCAUAGUUCCUUUGACUUUCCCACUAACGAUAGGUUAGGAGAUAGUACUUAUAAUUUACUUUCAAAAUAAACAAUGUUAAAAUCAAUCCAAAGUUUAAAAGGAAGAUUGAAUAAUGAUUUUUUAAGAAAAUUAUGUUACAAGGUUUUGAUAUGAAAUAUUUUUAAAGCCAAGUUAAAUGCAUGAAAUGAUUCUAAAUUAGUAUUAAGAAAAAAAAUAUUGCAUCAUGAAUGCGGAAAACAAAUGGAAUUACUAGUUAAAUAAUAUUAACUAAUUUUAGGGGAGGGCUCAAAUAUGCACAAACAAAUUUUAUUUUUUAUGGACAUGCUGAGAGUUUAUUUACAACCCUAUAGACAUGAUUUCUAGGUGUUAAAAAAAACAGAGUAACAUAUAUAUGCAUGAUUUUG